rnacentral:misc_RNA from 1 species
UACGUACCGUACGAACGUUAUUCGGAAUCACUGGGCUUAAAGAGUCCGUAGGCGGCUAUGUAGGUGAGGUGUGAAAUCCCACGGCUCAACCGUGGAACUGCGCUUCAAACCAUAUAGCUAGAGGGAGAUAGAGGAAAGCGGAACUGAUGGUGGAGCGGUGAAAUGCGUUGAUAUCAUCAGGAACACCGGUGGCGAAAGCGGCUUUCUGGGUCUCUUCUGACGCUGAGGGACGAAAGCUAGGGGAGCGAACGGG